GACGAACGCUGGCGGCGUGCCUAAUACAUGCAAGUCGAGCGGACGAAUCGAAAGCUUGCUUUUGAUUCGUUAGCGGCGGACGGGUGAGUAACACGUGGGCAACCUGCCCUGUAGACGGGGAUAACACCGAGAAAUCGGUGCUAAUACCGGAUAACACGAAAUGUCGCAUGACGUUUCGUUGAAAGACGGCGCAAGCUGUCGCUACAGGAUGGGCCCGCGGCGCAUUAGCUAGUCGGUGAGGUAACGGCUCACCAAGGCGACGAUGCGUAGCCGACCUGAGAGGGUGAUCGGCCACACUGGGACUGAGACACGGCCCAGACUCCUACGGGAGGCAGCAGUAGGGAAUCUUCCGCAAUGGACGAAAGUCUGACGGAGCAACGCCGCGUGAGCGAAGAAGGACUUCGGGUCGUAAAGCUCUGUUGUUAGGGAAGAACAAGUAACGCAGUAACUGGCGUUACCGUGACGGUACCUAACGAGAAAGCCACGGCUAACUACGUG
rnacentral:rRNA from 1 species